UACGUAGGGGGCAAGCGUUGUCCGGAAUUAUUGGGGCGUAAAGCGCGCGCAGGCGGCCUUUUAAGUCUGAUGUGAAAGCCCACGGCUCAACCGUGGAAGGUCAUUGGAAACUGAAAGGCUUGAGUACAGAAGAGGAAAGCGGAAUUCCAUGUGUAGCGGUGAAAUGCGUAGAGAUGUGGAGGAACACCAGUGGCGAAGGCGGCUUUCUGGUCUGUAACUGACGCUGAGGCGCGAAAGCGUGGGGAGCAAACAGG
rnacentral:rRNA from 1 species